GAUCAAUCUCGCACUCCUCUCUUGAUUCCCUAGGUACAGACAAUGGACCAGGAGGAUGAAGCCUUAGAGUUUCCUUGACUACCAAUUUCAGGUAUUUCAAAUUCUGCAUAUCACUAUGAUCUACUAUUUUCUUUCCUUUCAAAGUUUCUCUUACUUCAGCUUGAGCUUUUUUCAUGAUUGUCGGAUGCUUCAUUAAUUCGGACAUGGUCCAUUCUAAUGUAGUUGCUGUGGUAUCAGUUCCGGCAAUGAACAUAUCCUGUAGGUGCAUGCCCAAUCGAUAAGCAAUUUUAGGGCUUAUUUGCAGCCAAUAAAUAAACAUAUUAUGAGUAAUUAAUAACUAAGAAGGAAAUAAACGAAAGUGAUGUAGAGGAAGAUCUAGCUAGAUACAUACCAAGAUUAUGGCCUUUAUGGUAUCUCUUGUUAUAGGGAUUUGACAUUUGUGUCUCUCCUUUUCUCCAAGCCUUAGAAGAACAUGCAAAAGAUCUUCUUCAUCAAUUGGUUCACCGUUACUUGUUUGUAUGUUAUCUUCAUGUUCACGAACAAUUUCUUCAAGAAGACGAUCGCAUACUUGAUGCAUUUUAACUAGUUUUUGUUUGGAUCCUGUGAUAUACGGAAGAAACUUGAGGGAAGGGAACAAAUCUGGGAUAUUUAAGAGUCCUCCGACAGAUGCUGCUUCUUUUGCUGCCAAAAUCAAUGAGUCGGUAUCUUUACUAGCCAUUCCAACUGAAGCUCUACAAAUAAUAGCACAAGUGAGCGAUCUAAAACAUUCAGACAUAUUAAUUGGGGUACAUGCGCCUGAGUCCUUAAUAGAUUUAACUAAGCGCGAAAUCUCGUCUUCCAUUAGAGGAUAAGUCGACCGAACCCUUUUAGGACUUAGGAGCUCUAGCGCACAAAUUUUGCGCAUUUGUUUCCAGUAAUCACCAUGGGGAGCAAAACCAAUGUCUCCACCAUCGUACAUCAUAGCCUUUGAGACAAGGAGCUCCGGCCUAUUUGAAAACACGAUAUCACUUGUUCUUGUCACUUCUUUCAGCAUUUCAUACAAUGAUAUGACAAUAGUUGAAUAUUCACCUAAUUUUAGGUGCAUCAAAGGUCCGUAUUUGUCAGCUAAUUCCUUGAGAGCAACAUGGGGGGAGCUGAUUCCCAGCUGAUGCAAGUUGCCAAUUAGUGGGAGCUUCCAUGGUCCCGGAGGCAAGUUUUUUCUCCCUCUUUUGUGAUGCUUAAUGAAUAUGACCGUCAACGGUAGGAAAAAGAGGAAGAUGAUAAUGAAGAAAGAGGCUUCCAUUAUUAUGUUGACUAGACAAAUCACAGAUCUAAAUUGAUAUGACAAAUUUACUAGCAUCUCUUUCGUAUUUAUCAGCUUCUUGGGAAGACCAAGUAAUAUAAAAUAGGGUAGCUUUCCUAUGCGAGAGAUAUUAAUUAGUCUAUAUAUGCAUUGAUUGAUAGUAUAUCCCAUGCUUUCGUGUGACUAUUAAUGUUCAGCUGGCUACUACAUAUUAUAUGUUGUCUGAAAAUUCUAUUUUUCUAAUGAUAUAUUAAGUAUUAAUCUUGUUUACUGGUUCUUUCCAUUCUGGAUCCUUCAAAAGUUCAAUUAAAUUCUGAUCAACUGCGGUGUGAAGCAAGUAUUGUAGUGGUUUCCACAGAUGAGAAGUAUAUUUUUAUCUCUAAGGCAUAGUUAAUUAAUAUACUAUCUCACUUAUUUAUAAUUUAACCAGGAAAAUUAAUAUCAUUUCGAUGUAAAUAUUUGGUAUUACUCUUUCGCCUGUUUUUUUAAUGAAACGCACAUGGUGUUGUUUACAAAUCCAAAUGAAUAAGACAUCUAACUAAUUAUGAUGACCCAAAAGAUUAGCACUUGUUUUAAAAUGAAAUUCUACGUUUAGAGGCCUUAAAAACCUUUUUUAGUACUACCCUGAUUUGCUUGCGCAGUCCAGACACGUAGUCAGAAAGCCAAAAUAUGAAAAUUUGUGAAAAAUAAUGAAUUUUGACUACAAAACGAAUUAACUUGACUUCGGUCAAUAUUUUGGGUAAACGGACCCGGACACGUGAUUUGAUGGUCCCGGAGGAUCUAUAGGAAAAUAUGUAACUUGGGCGUAUGCCCGGAUCACAUUACAAGGUUCAAAGCCCGAGAAAUGAAUUUUUGAAAGAAAUUAUUUUCUGAAAAUUUUUAUAAGGUUUGUAAAUGAAUUUUAAUUAGAACAUGUUGGUAUCGGGCCCGUAUAUUGGUUCUGGUGCCCGGUACAGGUCUUAUAUAUGAUUUAAGAUAAUUCUAUGAAGUUUGGUAAGAAGCGAAAUAUAUUUGACGUGAUUCGAACCUUAAAUGCAAAUUUGAUUUUUAAUGAAGUUUUGAGAAAUUUCAUUGAUCUUGAGGUUUAAUUCGACGUUUAUGAUGUUAUUUUUGUGUUUUGAGUACAUGAAUAAGUCUGUAUGAUAUUUUUAAGGUUGUGUGUAUAUAUUGGUUGGAACCCCGAGGGCUCGGGUAAGUUUUGGAUAGGCGACAGAGAGAAUUUUGGACUUAAGAAAUUGCAGGCAUGCAGGCUUCGCAUUUCCCUAACUUUUUUCGCAAUUCCCAGGCUUGUUCGCGUUUCCCCAACUUUUUUUGCAAUACCCAGGUUCGCAUUUCCAAAACUUUUUUCGCAAUUCCGAAGCUUGUUCGCAUUUCCCAAACCUUUUUCGUAAUUCCCAGGUUCGCAUUUUCCAAACUUUUUUCGCAAUUCCCAAACCAACACAGGUUGGUUCGCAAUUGCGAACCCCUGUUCGCAAUUCCCAUAACAGAGAACUGUCACUUUUAUACUUAGCCGAUUUAAUACACAUUUUUCAUAUAUUUUCAAAACUUAAACACACUUGAGCGAUUUUCCAAGAGCAAUUGUGAGCAUAUGAGUUUUACCCUGUUGAUACGACUCAUACAUGACUCUCGAUUUUAGGAUUUUUUUUAAAAAAAUUUUAAAAUUUAAUUGUGAGACUUAAUUGCGCUUGUUAGUGUGUUUUUCAGUAAAGCAUGCAUAAAUUCAUAUAAUAUACAAAUUGCAUAAGCAUUAAGGAUUUAAUUUCAUCUUUGGCUAGAAUAAAUUGUAAUUACGGUUAUUUUUACAAAGAUAAAAUUCACAACAAAUAAGUAGUAUUUCCAAAAUUUUAAUUAUUUUAUUUAAUUUUAAUUUGUUUCAUUUUAUUUUUGUGUUGCAUAAAUAGAUAGUUAUUAGGUUGAUUUUAGUUAAUUAGGAGUUUUAAAAUACAAUUAGGAGUUAAACAAAAACAAAAAAACGAAAAAAAAAGAAGAAAAAAAAGAAAAAAAGGCAAACAAAACAAAUAUAUAUAUAUAUAAUAAUAAUAAGCCACCCAAGCUGGCCACAAUUGGGCAAUACCUGGGUGGCCCAACUACUCGUACCCUAUAAAAAACACCAACACCAAGCCCAAACAAUGGGUCCCUGACCCAGUCCACACACUAUGCCCGAAAACGACACUGUUUGGGGGCAGGUCACCCCAACCCUUGAUCACAAAUCAUCCAACGGCCUUAAACUCCCCCCUCCCCCCCAAAACAAAUAAAUAUGUCCAAACGUAUGUAUAACAUUAGAGACCAAUACUUCCCCUCCUCGUACAGUUCACGCCUGAAUAUCACCACCACCCAUGAGCCGUUACAAUCCCACCGUCCGCCGCCGGCAGUGGAGUAGCCCUAAUACCUUAAAAUUUUAGACCAUAGAAGCGUCUCACCCUCCUCUUCCCAUUGACAUAUGAACCAUACUUCAAAUCCUUGCCAGUAUGCUCAAAUUUUCAAUCAAAGCGUGGUUGCUCCGCCGUCUACGGCGGCAGCCGGUGGCAAACCGACCUCAAACUAACACUAAUGAUUCCUUUCGACCACCCCCACCAUAACCAUACCAGUAUCUGCCCUUCAACAUAAUCCCAAUGCCUCAAAUACUCACCUGAAGAUGGCAGCACCGCCAUGCACGGCGGUGACUGCCGCCCAUUACCAUCCAACGCUGUCCACUGCCACCCAACACCAUCAAAACACAACCAAUCAUUAUAAAACCACACCUAAUAAUUGUUUUGUAUCUUUCACCUAGUACACCCCCAAGCCCUCUCAAGAAACCCAGGCACCUUCGAGGUUGGCAAUGACAUUACCUGUAUUCACGCCACUUUUUAGAGCCCUUUCGACUCGAAUUCGUUUAGAAAAGUAAAUAAAAGAAUUUGUAAGUCCAUUUUGAUUUCAUUAUGUGUUCCUUUUAAAAAUUUAGAUUCAUUUCUUUUGAUUGAAAAAUGUUAUUAGGUUGCGAGCAUAUUUGUUUUGUUAAGCCAAAAUUAGCGGGGCCUAUUCAUUGUCAAACUUGUUCCUAGUUUCAAUCUGAUAUUCGGCAUGCUUUUUUAGUCAUUGUAUGAUUUUCUGAGGACUAGUCUGAGUCCACUUAGAGAUGGUUUGGAUUUCUUGAAGUUAUUUGUUGAAGAUUAUUUAGGGACAAAUAAGGGUAAUGUGGGUAGUCCAUGAAAAUUAGAUGCUGGUAGAAGCGUUUAGGCCCUUCUAAAAGGGUCUUUAGCAUAAAAUCAGUAGAUUUACUGCAAUAACUUGGGCAACAAGUUAAAAAAUGAAGGGCCAUAAAGGUAAAAACCUGAAAUUGAAGGAAGUACUUUCAGCAAAAAACUAAUAGUAAUUUUACCUUAGAUAUUUGGCUAUAAAAAGAGAUGGGAAAUCACUGAAGAAGGGGCUGAAAAAAGGAAGAAAACCAGAAAAAAAAAUCUCUAGAAAAUAUAUGCAUACUAGUGAAAUUUUACUGUUGCAUUGGAUCGAUCUCUAACCUUCUAAAAAGAGCUUCUCAUUCUGAAAAAUUCGAGCUAUUUUUCAUUGUUUGAUUUGAGUUUGGAUACCUGAUAUUUGAAGCUUGUUCUAGGUUCCUUGUACUUCAUUUCUUAAAGUUAAAACUAUCUUUGCAUCUAUCUCUAACUGCCUGGGAGUUGGGAUUAUUAGAAGUUAUUUUUGAAAUACUAUCACUCUGUUGUUUGCUUGCUGAACCCUCAUCUCCACUCUCUUUACAUUUUCUAGGUAUCUUUGGGACCCAUGGAUCUCAUAUGAAUAUAGAAUGGAUCUUUGAUUUUGAAAUACAAGCGUUUAGCUAUUCAAUUUCUUUCCCUUGUCUCAUCUAGCUAGAAAAUUUUGUGCAAUGUAUAGCUGUGCACCCUGUUUACAAGACAUACAACUAGGAAUCCCUUUUAUUUCAGUAAAUUCUGCAAUUGACCCUUGCGAUGUAAUAGUAAUGUAUUAAAUGGCUUCCCAAUUUUGUGUUUAGGCUUAACAUGAAUUCUGAAGUGCCCAUGAGUUGCAGGUUUACCUGUAAUCGUGAUGUAUAAGUUGCUUGUUAAUUUAUUAGGACAUUG
rnacentral:lncRNA from 1 species